rnacentral:rRNA from 1 species
UAGCUGGUCUGAGAGGAUGAUCAGCCACACUGGAACUGAGACACGGUCCAGACUCCUACGGGAGGCAGCAGUGGGGAAUAUUGCACAAUGGGCGCAAGCCUGAUGCAGCCAUGCCGCGUGUAUGAAGAAGGCCUUCGGGUUGUAAAGUACUUUCAGUGGUGAGGAAGGUUAUGUAUUUAAUAGAUGCGUAGCUUGACGUUAGCCACAGAAGAAGCACCGGCUAACUCCGUGCCAGCAGCCGCGGUAAUACGGAGGGUGCGAGCGUUAAUCGGAAUUACUGGGCGUAAAGCGCAUGCAGGUGGUCUGUUAAGUCAGAUGUGAAAGCCCGGGGCUUAACCUCGGAAUAGCAUUUGAAACUGUCAGACUAGAGUACUGUAGAGGGGGGUAGAAUUUCAGGUGUAGCGGUGAAAUGCGUAGAGAUCUGAAGGAAUACCGGUGGCGAAGGCGGCCCCCUGGACAGAUACUGACACUCAGAUGCGAAAGCGUGGGGAGCAAACAGGAUUAGAUACCCUGGUAGUCCACGCCGUAAACGAUGUCUACUUGGAGGUUGUGGCCUUGAGCCGUGGCUUUCGGAGCUAACGCGUUAAGUAGACCGCCUGGGGAGUACGGUCGCAAGAUUAAAACUCAAAUGAAUUGACGGGGGCCCGCACAAGCGGUGGAGCAUGUGGUUUAAUUCGAUGCAACGCGAAGAACCUUACCUACUCUUGACAUCUACAGAAGCUUGCGGAGACGCGAGUGUGCCUUCGGGAACUGUAAGACAGGUGCUGCAUGGCUGUCGUCAGCUCGUGUUGUGAAAUGUUGGGUUAAGUCCCGCAACGAGCGCAACCCUUAUCCUUGUUUGCCAGCACGUAAUGGUGGGAACUCCAGGGAGACUGCCGGUGAUAAACCGGAGGAAGGUGGGGACGACGUCGAGUCAUCAUGGCCCUUACGAGUAGGGCUACACACGUGCUACAAUGGCACAUACAGAGGGCAGCCAACUUGCAAAAGUGAGCGAAUCCCAAAAAGUGUGUCGUAGUCCGGAUCGGAGUCUGCAACUCGACUCCGUGAAGUCGGAAUCGCUAGUAAUCGUGGAUCAGAAUGCCACGGUGAAUACGUUCCCGGGCCUUGUACACACCGCCCGUCACACAAUGGGAGUGGGCUGCAAAAGAAGUAGGUAGUUUAACCUUCGGGGGGACGCUUACCACUUUGUGGUUCAUGACUGGGGUGAAGUCGUAACAAGGUAGCGCUAAGGGAACCUGGCGCUG